UCAAAUUGAUAUCUAAAUGCUGAAGUAUGUUUUUGGGACCAGUCCAUCUUGUUCUGUUGUCCAGAAAAUGGCACUUAGCUUCCUCCCUGCAGGGAGUAUUUCUACAGUUAACAAGAGAUAAAACAAGGGCUUUUUGAUCAAAGAAAUGGAAGGACCUGGAUAAACAAUUUGAAAAAGGAGCAGAAAAAAAAAGUCACAGGAUAAGGUCAUUUUCACUGCAUUUCAGUGUUCUGCUGAUUCUGGACUGAGGAUUAAUCUCUUUCUUCUAACUGGAUUAAUGCCACUGAGUCAAACCACUACAACUAUCCAGAAUAUGUCUCUGCAAAGAGAUGGAAAAAAGCAGGAUGUUCAAAAAUUGGACCACCACUAACCUCCACUGUUGUGGCUGAGAUAUAUACUCCAGAUGAUGCAUGAGCUGAGGAGAGAUACAAGUCAGACGCUACAUAGGGCAGACACAGUUUUAUGAUAAGGUAAGAAAAAAUUACUCCCCAGUAGUGUCACAGCAGAAUCAAUUGCAAGGCAAAUUGCUUCAAAUCUGGAAAAGUAUCACAGAAAUUAAAAGGAGAACUUUGGAGCUGCAAAAUGGAAAAGGGGAGAUUUACACAGAGAGGAUGUCCUUCUGAUAUGUGGGUGAGCUGGACUGGAGAGGGUUCUCCUCAGCAAGGCCAAGAGUUGUAUAGGGCAAUCUCAUUCAUACAUUUAAUAAGCUCUACAUUUAGACUACUGAGCUUUGUUGCAUGUAGCCUUUUUCUAGUAGAAAACUUUUUCAUUUACCUGAAGUAAUCUUAUACUCUGAAGACAGAACAAGUCCCUGGUACCACUUUCCAUUCCGUUUGCUGCUGUAAAGAAGAUUACAAGGCACGAUCUACUUCCCUGUUAUGAGAGGCUGAGCUUACUAAAAGCAUAAAGGGCAAGAAAGUGAAAUAUUUGAGUAUAUUCGUGACACAAGAACAACUUGAAGCUUGGAACUGAAAACAUGGUGGUCAUAUAUGUAUGUUUAAUUUAGAUAAACCAAUCCACUCAAAUAACAGCUGGUUAGGGUGGCCUCUCUGUGGAAAUUACAAAACCUAAUAGUACUAUACUAAAGUAACAAAAAGCAAACAAACAAAAAAAGCAACCCAGUGUUAUUGGUUUUAUUUAAAUUUGGAUUUUUUUUUGCAGAAGUUAUAAUUCUGUAAAUACAAAUUUCUACCUCCUUUCCUCUGGGUAAGUGAAAGCACAUUUGUACAUUGUAGAAUAAAAGGCUUAGGGAUUAAAUGAAAAGUAAAAUAGCUGUUUAAGAAAAAGUUUACAGUUCGUCAAAUAUAAGAGCCUCUAAAAAUACCUUAGCAAAAUAUUCUCAAUUAUUUCUGAAGGGCAAGUGACAGACAGUGUUAAAGAAAGAGCAUCCUGUCACAGAACUACAUUUCUGAGUGUUUCUCUGUUCUUUGUUGCAACGAAAAAAAUUUCAGUUCUGCAAAUUAAAAAUGAAUACAUUUAUAAAAAAAAGUUGAUAUAGUUUUCAGUUCAGUAGAAGAGAGAACCAAACAUAUAGGAUCAUAAAUAUGCAAAAUUUUAGUACAUUAAUUUUGACACAAGCAAUUAUAGUUGUUAUAAAAAUAGAGUACACUAGUGCUGAAAAUUCUUCUAAUGGGGUUGAAAUAGUUAUAGUUCACAACAGAAUCCCUGUUAAGAGCAAGCUAUUUUGAUAUUCUGUUGCUAACUCUUGUGUUAAGAAGACCUAAUAUCCUCUAAUUAAUAAUGUUUAUUACCACCCUAAGUUUUAUCACAGUGAACAAGCUAUGAUCAUAAUCAGAAUGGAUUCUGAUGCCUAAAGUGAUUUGCAAAGGAAUUAUACAUCCCACAAAGUGUAAAAUAUAAAUACCAAAAAAUUAUAAUUUUUUUAGAAUUCAGUCAAUGAAGUCAGAUUAAGAAUAAGUAUGUAAAGUAUGUUCUUUGCCAAACUCAGAGAAGAGCAGAGGUGUCUCUAAAAAGAAAAUAAAUUAUUAAAACAUGGAUUCAGAUUCACUUAGCUUCUGCACAGUGAUGCCUUAGAAUUUUUAGGAUUUUUAGCUUUUGUAGAUUUUCAUGUAGCUGGAGUUUUCCUUCACUUUAGACCCUUACUUUCUUACAGUUUGUGUGUCGCAUUCCCGGAGCUUUGGUCUAACUGUCUUCUUGCACUCCAUGGCCUGAAGGCCUUCAUAAAAAGAGCUGCUAUCUUAUCUAAUAUUGCCUGGAGAGUCUUUUUCUCCUGGACCUUUAGGCAACAACAGAGAAAUCUUUUGUACUCCCAUUGACAGAUCAACACAAGGGAGUGCUUAUUGAGGAUGAUUGUUCAUAUAAGUGACCGAGACCUUUUAGUGUUCAGUUUACAAAUUAUGUUAAAUAAAUUCUCUACAUAAAUAUUACCAUACCAUGACAAAUUAUUUUAUGGUGGACAUUUUCAGUCAAAGGAAGUCUGACCUUGACUUCCAAUGUAUAUGCAAAUGGAGGAAGGGAUGACGGGACACACUUGUCCAAGAUUUUAUUUUUCACCUUCAUCUGAUUGAGUGCUUACUAAUAUUUGGGCAUCUGAACUAUAGCUAAUAAUACCAUUUUCUCUUUUCAUUUCAGUGUGGGUGUUUUUCAGUUUUGAAUGUUUCAAAUGAUAACAGGAGGUUAAACUGGGGGUUUGAGUACCUAACUAUUGAUUCCUUCUGAUCAAAAUUUGAAUUUUUUCUCUCUCUUAACAACAAAAUUGUAUGCAACGUGGUUCUAAUCUGACGAUAGUAAUCAUUAGGUAUCAGAGUUAAAAAAAAGAAAACAAGAAAAAAUCCAAACCACAUAUUCUAUGUUUUCUUUUUCCCAGUCAUUCUCUGGAGAUUUUUUAUGUUUUAUUUCAUAUUAUCAUGUUAUGUCUUUAUGCAUCACUCACUAAAUACUUCCUCAGUUAAUUAUCCAUAGUACAACUUGGUCACAGAUGGCAUUGCUUCCAGUACAGCUCCUAUCAUAUAGAACAGUCUAUUUGUGCCUAUGUUCUUUUUUUUUUAGCUCAUAUAUCUCUUAGAAAGAAAAAAUCCAUUUUCUGAAACUGUUUAAUUUCUCUCUUCCUCAAUUCCUAUAUUAUUUAUUAUUCAGAUCUGUUACUGUAUUAUUUAAUAGUAUGAAGUGUCUUUAAAUAAAACUUUAAUGAA